rnacentral:rRNA from 1 species
CGCCGCCUACGGGGCGCAGCAGUGGGGAAUAUCGGGCAAUGGGCGCAAGCCUGACCCAGCAACGCCGCGUGAAGGAAGAAGGCUUUCGGGUUGUAAACUUCUUUUGUCAGGGACGAAGCAAGUGACGGUACCUGACGAAUAAGCCACGGCUAACUACGUGCCAGCAGCCGCGGUAAUGCGUAGGUGGCAAGCGUUAUCCGGAUUUACUGGGUGUAAAGGGCGUGUAGGCGGGACUGCAAGUCAGAUGUGAAAACCACGGGCUCAACCUGUGGCCUGCAUUUGAAACUGUGGUUUUUGAGUACUGG